rnacentral:rRNA from 1 species
AAUAGAUACCCAGGUAGUCCACGCCGUAAACGAUGAGUGCUAAGUGUUAGAGGGUUUCCGCCCUUUAGUGCUGCAGCUAACGCAUUAAGCACUCCGCCUGGGGAGUACGGUCGCAAAGACUGAAACUCAAAGGAAUUGACGGGGGCCCGCACAAGCGGUGGAGCAUGUGGUUUAAUUCGAAGCAACGCGAAGAACCUUACCAGGUCUUGACAUCCUCUGACAACUCUAGAGAUAGAGCGUUCCCCUUCGGGGGACAGAGUGACAGGUGGUGCAUGGUUGUCGUCAGCUCGUGUCGUGAGAUGUUGGGUUAAGUCCCGCAACGAGCGCAACCCUUGAUCUUAGUUGCCAGCAUUUAGUUGGGCACUCUAAGGUGACUGCCGGUGACAAACCGGAGGAAGGUGGGGAUGACGUCAAAUCAUCAUGCCCCUUAUGACCUGGGCUACACACGUGCUACAAUGGAUGGUACAAAGGGCUGCAAGACCGGCGAGGUCAAGCCAAUCCCAUAAAACCAUUCUCAGUUCGGAUUGUAGG